CCUACGGGUGGCAGCAGUGAGGAAUAUUGGUCAAUGGCCGGAAGGCUGAACCAGCCAAGCCGCGUGAAGGACGAAGGUGCCAAGCAUUGUAAACUUCUUUUGUCAAGGGACAAAAUCAGGCUCGAGAGCCUGACCGAGGGUACUUGAAGAAAAAGCAUCGGCUAACUCCGUGCCAGCAGCCUCGGUAAUACGGAGGAUGCAAGCGUUAUCCGGAUUUAUUGGGUGUAAAGGGCGUGCAGCCGGAGGGACAAGUCAGAUGUGAAAUCCCCGGGCUCAACCCGGGAACUGCAUUUGAAACUGUUUGGCUUGAGAGUAGGAGAGGUAAUCGGAAUGCAUUGUGUAGCGGUGAAAUGCGUAGAUAUAAGGAAGAACACCAGUGGCGAAGGCGGAUUACUGGACGAUAACUGACGGUGAGGCGCGAAAGCGUGGGGAGCAAACAGGAUUAGAUACCCGUGUAGUC
rnacentral:rRNA from 1 species